AUUCACUAGGGUGCUUAAGUCCAAAGAUAUAUUUUAGGUCUUUGGUAGUCUUCUAAUUUGAUUCAGCCGUUGGGGCAGAUAUCCUCUCCUUGAUCCUCAUAGAGGCCAUUAAGGGACUUAUUUAGACGUGCGAUCUAUUUCUUAAGACUCGAUCAAAAGUAGUUUUGUGGGUCCACGGUAUUAUUUGUAGAGCGAAUGCUCAACCCGUGAGGGUCGAUAAUGACCCGCAUCUCGUCUGGUAUAGGGUCGCAGAUUCUGGUAUGACUAGGAGAAAUUAAUCUUAUGCUUGAUCCUUCGACCAUUUGGUCAUUCUAUGAGAAUUGAUUUCUUAUCUCAAUCUGGAGUAUAUAUGUUUGUGGUACGCCUCGAACGUGUAGAAUUUUUACCACCACAAGUAGUACCCCCAUUUACUAAGAAUGAACUUGGUCUGGCUCAAAAAUUGGAAGCCACCAAAUUAAAAACCGCUUUGACUUUUAAAUUUUGAAGACCCAUGUCGUUUACUGAGGUUUUUACUUGUUGUGUUAAGUCACUUGCACCUACUCUUUUCCUGAAGGCAAUGAUAGAGUCUUCUGGCUAUCUAUUCUAGUGUUCUUAAACCUUUGUUUGAGGAUCAUCUGCCCUGUAAGUUUCUGCUCUCCAUUCUUCUUCUUCUUUAAUUUUUGUGAUAGUCAUGAAUGGUCGAAGCUCCGGCGACAAAUAUAUUAACGUUUUUUUUUUUUUUUUGGUGCAUUCUAGCUCUCACAUGGAGAUUUUUUUGUCUGAGGAUGCUUCUCCUCUAAGGGAUGAAGAGAUCAGAGAGGAAGUUCUGGUGUUGACUGAGAUGCCUGAUGGUCCUCCCCUUGUUUCUGACGAGGAUCUUCUCCGUUUUGUCAGGAUUUCGCGCCUUUAGUGGCGGAGAUUAGGGACUGUCACCUUAUGAGAGACUUUUGACCCAGUUGACAAUUAGGUCCCCUGCCUCUGGACCCCUAAUCCAUGGGGGUGUGUGAGUUGAGUGGGUUGGUGUUAGCACAACUUUCGCUUGUGGUAUGGAUCAUGUGUUUGAAAUACAUUUGUGCUCAGGCGGGGUUGCCUCUUGCUAUUAUUGGGUUAUUUCGACUUUAUCGCUUUACCUUGCUUGAUUUGUGAGGAUUUUGACUUGUUUUUCACCCACAAGCUUGAGGGUUGAGCCAUUUGGAUGUGUUCCGGUGUGGAAAGGCAGUCUUGAUGGAUUAAAUCUCACUUGAUUCGAGGUAGACAGGGAGACGACCCAGCUUCCUAGGAGCCAGAUCAGCUUGCACAGGAGCACUUCCAUAGACCGGAGGUGCAGUUUCUGAUAUAUUCUUUUGUGUACAUACUUGGACAUGGCGGGGUCCUGUCCCGUCUUCAUGACUUCAAUACUUCAGUUAGAGGCUC